UACGUAGGGUGCGAGCGUUGUCCGGAAUUAUUGGGCGUAAAGAGCGUGUAGGCGGCCAGACAGGUCCGUUGUGAAAACUCGAGGCUCAACCUCGAGACGCCGAUGGAAACCGUCUGGCUAGAGUCCGGAAGAGGAGAGUGGAAUUCCCGGUGUAGCGGUGAAAUGCGCAGAUAUCGGGAAGAACACCCGUGGCUAAGGCGGCUCUCUAGUACGGUACUGACGCUGAGACGCGAAAGCGUGGGGAGCGAACAGG
rnacentral:rRNA from 1 species